rnacentral:rRNA from 1 species
UGAGCAACCUGCCCCUGACUCUGGGAUAACCCCGGGAAACCGGAGCUAAUACCGGAUACGACACGCGAAGGCAUCUUCUGCGUGUAGAAAGAUUUAUCGGUCAGGGAUGGACUCGCGGCCUAUCAGCUUGUUGGUGGGGUAACGGCCCACCAAGGCGACGACGGGUAGCCGGCCUGAGAGGGCGACCGGCCACACUGGGACUGAGACACGGCCCAGACUCCUACGGGAGCA